GCAUAAAAAACCCUCCGAAAGAUAAUAACUAAGACUCACAAGUCAAAGUAACUAAAAAAUCCAAUUGACCCAAUCUUUGAUCAACGGACCAAGUUACCCUAGGGAUAACAGCGCAAUCCUAUUUAAGAGUUCAUAUCGACAAUAGGGUUUACGACCUCGAUGUUGGAUCAGGACAUCCCAAUGGUGUAGCAGCUAUUAAUGGUUCGUUUGUUCAACGAUUAAAGUCCUACGUGAUCUGAGUUCAGACCGGAGUA
rnacentral:rRNA from 1 species